GCCGGCGUAGCUCAGAGGUAGAGCAGCCGAUUCGUAAUCGGCAGGUCGUCGGUUCGACUCCGACCGCCGGCUCCA
rnacentral:tRNA from 1 species